rnacentral:lncRNA from 1 species
AAGUCUUUCUGCGUUUCCUUUUGGUUUUUGUCAAACGUUGGAAUAAAACUAUCUUAUUAUGGUUACGGUUAUACGUAUUUAUUCGUUUUGGUGAAGAUGGUCUGUUAUCGUUGCAUUGGAAUGUGGGAAUGGUUUGGUGGUUUCUUGCGGCUUAUUGGUUGAGUGAAUUCUCGGGUCUUGGAAACUGGCAGAGAAAGUUGAUAAUGAACAAGGAUUGGGGAAUCAUUGGGGUGGUUUGCUAUGCCACUAGGUGGGCUCCUCUUUUAUAUAUAGCUUUGCUUUACACAGCUUCGAGAAGAAAUGAUAUGUGCACUGGUUUGGUGGGUCUCUCGAAUGCAACUAAAAAGUGUACA